UCUUGUUUACUUAAUAAUAUGGAGCUAAACAAUUAACAGAAAAACAUAGUUGGAUGAGUCAUUUUUAAUGAUUAUAAUGCGUGCUCUUUCAAGAAAAGUCACAGGAAAAUAAAUAGAGAGUACUACGCGGCGAAUGGCCACUUAUUACAAGCCAAACUUCAAAAUCACAAACGAAAAGUUAUAAAUAUAGUUCUUGUUUCUAAGAACACAGCCUAGUAGAGAGAGAGAGAGAGAGAGAGAGAGAGAGAGAGAGAGAGAUACUACAAACCGAACUUGGAAUAACAAUGAAUGAAAUAUGCAUGUUUCUCUCAUUGAAGACAUAUCAAUGACAGAGUGAAAGAGUUGCUGAUGAGAUGGAGCCGUAACCAUGGCUUUUGAGUUAGAUGGACAAACCCAAGGACCAAAAUAUCUCCUCAGGUCAUCAUGAGUUUUAAUUAGGGAAGAAAAGAAACACACAAGUUAACUAACCUAAGCUACUAGUAAGUGGGAUUUUCACAAAGGCAUGCAGGAGCUCUAGGUUUGAAAAAAACAAUAGCUCUUGCCUAUCCGUCAAAAUUGGGCUAACCCUCCAAUGGUUUAGCCACAGUGAAUAAUAAUACUUUACAACUAAACAAAAAUGCAAGUUAUGAAAGAAUUAUUAUCUUCCCCUUCCAAAAGGGAAGAUGAGUAGACUUGAGGUUAGCAAAAACAGCCUCUGGGUAUUCCCUUUAUGCCCAGUGAAUGUUGUUACACCCUAACCCAGCAUCUGGGUUAUUCAUUUGGGUGAUAUUGAUCAGGAAUGUGAGUUGCAGUGUUCUACUGUUUCUCAAUUCGACAUGUCAGUUGUUUGCUAUAACAUGUAUAUAUAACGCAGUGCUGAUAAACCUAAUCUAAAAUUGGAAUUCUUUUGGUUGAUGAUUAGCCAAAAAUGGGAGAAAAUGCGGAUGAUGAUUUUCUUGCUAUCGGAAAUGAAGGCAUGCAAUAUUGCAUAAUGACGUAAUAAAAGUAAUCAAAUGCUGCUGAUGGGGCGAAGGGCGUUUGUCUGAUGAGGAGAAGGGUAACUUGUGCUCAUGCUUGCACCUGCAAUCAAAUUAUUCAAUUAGAAUUUGAUUGUAGCGUGAUUAAUUAAAAAUUGAUAAAAUGAUUACGUUCACAAACCUGCAGGAGGUUGUGAGUGUGGGAUUGCAUUGAAGGAGACAGGAGGGGUAUAGUGCUGUGCAACGCCAGAUGAAGCAAUAAUUGGAUACUGGAAAUGAUGUUGAGGAUACACCAAAUCUAACCCUACCCCAUAUUGAAGGUAUGGGUAGAAACUAGAAUUUGAACUCCCGUAUACAACAUAAUGGCUGUUUGUUGCUCCAUAGUAGCUCUGCAAUAUCAUUUCACUUUAGGUUCUACUUUAAACAAAAAUAUAGAAAUUAACUAAUCCAGUAGGAAUGGGAACAAUUACCGUGGGACAUGUGUAGUUUGGAGAGUACCUGUGGAUUAAAAUAAUUAUGGAUUAGCAAAAAAUUAAGGACUAAUUUAUUAAUUAACAGUCAAUGGAAGCAGUUAGUCGUAUCAUGACUCAUAAGCAUGUGAUCCUUUCACGUGAUAAUGGUCAAACUAAUCAAGUAAUCAUGCAAGAAGCAUGGUGGCAGGAUCAUCACAUGAAUGUACGUAUAUAAUCAUCUAUAUUUGGUAGUUGAAAAUUUUCAUUUGAGCAAAUGAUCGAACAAGUGAACUGGCAAAUGCACAUGAUUGAUAAUUACAAGUUAAAAAAGAAACGAAAAGGAAAGAAAAGGGAAGGAAAGGAAAAGAAAAGCUUACCCAUAGAGAGCAUAGGGGAUUCAAACCGAACUUGGAAUAACAAUGAAUGAAAUAUGCAUGUUUCUCUCAUUGAAGACAUAUCAAUGACAGAGUGAAAGAGUUGCUGAUGAGAUGGAGCCGUAACCAUGGCUUUUGAGUUAGAUGGACAAACCCAAGGACCAAAAUAUCUCCUCAGGUCAUCAUGAGUUUUAAUUAGGGAAGAAAAGAAACACACAAGUUAACUAACCUAAGCUACUAGUAAGUGGGAUUUUCACAAAGGCAUGCAGGAGCUCUAGGUUUGAAAAAAACAAUAGCUCUUGCCUAUCCGUCAAAAUUGGGCUAACCCUCCAAUGGUUUAGCCACAGUGAAUAAUAAUACUUUACAACUAAACAAAAAUGCAAGUUAUGAAAGAAUUAUUAUCUUCCCCUUCCAAAAGGGAAGAUGAGUAGACUUGAGGUUAGCAAAAACAGCCUCUGGGUAUUCCCUUUAUGCCCAGUGAAUGUUGUUACACCCUAACCCAGCAUCUGGGUUAUUCAUUUGGGUGAUAUUGAUCAGGAAUGUGAGUUGCAGUGUUCUACUGUUUCUCAAUUCGACAUGUCAGUUGUUUGCUAUAACAUGUAUAUAUAACGCAGUGCUGAUAAACCUAAUCUAAAAUUGGAAUUCUUUUGGUUGAUGAUUAGCCAAAAAUGG
rnacentral:lncRNA from 1 species